GAUGAACGCUGGCGGCGUGCCUAAUACAUGCAAGUCGAGCGAACGGACGAGAAGCUUGCUUCUCUGAUGUUAGCGGCGGACGGGUGAGUAACACGUGGAUAACCUACCUAUAAGACUGGGAUAACUUCGGGAAACCGGAGCUAAUACCGGAUAAUCUUUUGAACCGCAUGGUUCAAAAGUGAAAGACGGUCUUGCUGUCACUUAUAGAUGGAUCCGCGCUGCAUUAGCUAGUUGGUAAGGUAACGGCUUACCAAGGCAACGAUGCAUAGCCGACCUGAGAGGGUGAUCGGACACACUGGAACUGAGACACGGUCCAGACUCCUACGGGAGGCAGCAGUAGGGAAUCUUCCGCAAUGGGCGAAAGCCUGACGGAGCAACGCCGCGUGAGUGAUGAAGGUCUUCGGAUCGUAAAACUCUGUUAUUAGGGAAGAACAUAUGUGUAAGUAACUGUGCACAUCUUGACGGUACCUAAUCAGAAAGCCACGGCUAACUACGUG
rnacentral:rRNA from 1 species